rnacentral:lncRNA from 1 species
CCUGACUAUCCCGUUGCCAAAAGUGUGGCUGCUGGGACUUUCCCAGUUUUAUUUUUAGCCAUUUAAGAUAAUCUGGAAAGAAGCUGAGGAAUGUUAAGGUUUUUUUUCCUGUUUCCAGGAGAACACAAAAUAUGAAGGGAAGGAUCAGGCUCCUGAACGCAUGUAGAAAAGAGCUCCUGGUGUUUGUGUGAUGUAGAACUCUCAGCUCCUUAUCCAGCACCAUUCUGCCUGCGUGCAUCCAUGCUUCCUGCUAUGAAGAUAAUGGACUAAACCUCUGAACCUGUAAACCAGCCCCAUAUUCACAGUAACGUGGAACAUAGUAACAUAGUGACAUGGGAUACCUGAGCCCUUAUCUAUUGGCACAUAAGUAUUUCUACACAGAGCCCUCAUCCAGUGACUGAUGGAAGCAGAGGCAAAUAUCCACAGAUAUACACUGAACUGAACUCUGGAACCUAGUUGCAGAGAGGGAGGAAUGGUACCAGGCUGGUGAAACCCACAGAAUCAGCUGGCCUGAACAAGGGGGAGCACAUGGACCACAGACUGCUGUCUGGGAGGCCAGCACAGGCUGUGCUGGAGAAGAAAAAGAAGGUUCCUGCUGUGCCAGAAACCCUUAAGAAAAAGUGAAGGAUGGCGACGAAAGCUGGAAACUUCUAUGUGCCUGUAGAACCCAAGCUGGCAUUUGUUAUCCGAAUCCGAGGUAUCAAUGGUGUAAACCCGAAGUCUGCAAGGUGUUACAGCUGCUCUGUCUUUGUCAGAUCUUCAAUGGCAGCUUUGUUAAGCUCAACAAGGCUUCAAUUAACAUGCUGAGGAUUGUGGAACCAUACAUUGCA